UACAGAGGGGGCAAGCGUUAUUCGGAAUUACUGGGCGUAAAGCGCGCGUAGGCGGCUCUUCAAGUCAGGCGUGAAAGCCCCGGGCUUAACUCGGGAACUGCGCUUGAUACUGUCGAGCUAGAGUGUGGAAGGGGCGAUUGGAAUUCCGUGUGUAGCGGUGAAAUGCGUAGAUAUACGGAGGAACACCAGGGGCGAAGGCGGAUCGCUGGGCCAACACUGACGCUGAUGCGCGAAAGCUAGGGGAGCAAACGGG
rnacentral:rRNA from 1 species